AAAGAAUUAGUUAAAAAUAACAUAAAUAUGUCAUAUUUAAAUUACUACAUUUAUAGUAUUCUUUU
rnacentral:tRNA from 1 species